AAAAAUUAUAGUCGCCGAAUUCCAACGAUGACAACAGUUGCUUAUUCUGAUGAUGAUUGUCGCCGGAUUUCUUGCCGGAUUUCGACGGUGACCACCUAUUUUCUCCCUUCCGGUGAAGACAAUAAUUACAGUCACCGUUUUUUCUUACGACGACGAUGAUAACCAACUUUGUUCUUGAUGUUGGAUCAACGUCUUUGGAUUUAUUUUACCAAAUCAGAGAUGUACCCCGCGCCCGCACCAGCGCCGCGUUGGGAUGGGUUCGUCAGCGAAGUCAAUGAGUCCGCG
rnacentral:lncRNA from 1 species